rnacentral:rRNA from 1 species
GUACAUAACUGUACGGACGACGGACGACGGAACGUAACAGAUUUACUCGGUAAUGACGUUAGGAAAGCGAGCGGCGGAUGGGUGAGUAACACGUGGGGAACCUGCCCCAUAGUCUGGGAUACCACUUGGAAACAGGUGCUAAUACCGGAUAAGAAAGCAGAUCGCAUGAUCAGCUUUUAAAAGGCGGCGUAAGCUGUCGCUAUGGGAUGGCCCCGCGGUGCAUUAGCUAGUUGGUAAGGUAAAGGCUUACCAAGGCGAUGAUGCAUAGCCGAGUUGAGAGACUGAUCGGCCACAUUGGGACUGAGACACGGCCCAAACUCCUACGGGAGGCAGCAGUAGGGAAUCUUCCACAAUGGACGCAAGUCUGAUGGAGCAACGCCGCGUGAGUGAAGAAGGUUUUCGGAUCGUAAAGCUCUGUUGUUGGUGAAGAAGGAUAGAGGUAGUAACUGGCCUUUAUUUGACGGUAAUCAACCAGAAAGUCACGGCUAACUACGUGCC